UACGUAGGUGGCAAGCGUUAUCCGGAAUUAUUGGGCGUAAAGAGCGCGCAGGUGGUUGAUUAAGUCUGAUGUGAAAGCCCACGGCUUAACCGUGGAGGGUCAUUGGAAACUGGUCGACUUGAGUGCAGAAGAGGGAAGUGGAAUUCCAUGUGUAGCGGUGAAAUGCGCAGAUAUCAGGAGGAACACCAAUGGCGAAGGCAGGUAUCUGGGCCUGUACUGACGCUCAUGCACGAAAGCGUGGGGAGCAAACAGGA
rnacentral:rRNA from 1 species